GGCCCCUUCCGUCUUCAAGCCAUCAUGGCGCAUGGGGACCUCAGGUGGAUCCAGUCUUCUGUCCUCUUCUUCAGCCACCAGCUAAAGAAAGCCCUCUGCUUUGACAGGCUCAUGUGAUCAGAUCCGGGGCCCUUGAAUAAUCUCCCUGUUUUAAGGUCAUUUCCUGCCAUGUGACAUAAUGUUGCAUAUGUAACAUGAUCCUGGAAGUGAUAGCCCAUCAAAUUCAUGGGUUCUGGGCAUCAGAGCAGGACAGCUUUGGAGGACAGUUUUAGAAAUUCUGCUUACCCCAUCAUCUCUUAGGAAAAGAAAGAGAUACAAUUAAGGAGAUUUUUUUUUUUUCAUGGAGACAUAGCUUUAUUGGGAAAUCACCAUCACCUUGCAGAAUUACUCUUAGACACAUAUGACAUUAAGAAUUAAAAAAUGCCUUACAGAAAGAGCUGAGGUUUAUGGAAUGACUGGCCAACAGGGACCUGCCGUAUAGCACAGAAAACUCUACCCAGGAUUCUGUGACAAUCUCUGUGGGAAAAGAAUCUGAGAGAAUGGAUGUGUGUACAUGUGUCACUGUGUCACUGUCACAUGGCAGAAAUGAUCCCAACCUUGUGAGUCAGCGCCAAUAAAACUGUAAAAAAUGAAAACAAUUAAAAAUAGAAUAUAUAUCAACAGUUAAAAAAGCAAGAGCUGGAAUGAGCACAGAUUCAUAGGUUUGGAUGUUGAAAUGAACUUCCACUACCUACAAGCCGGCUGAGCUGAGGCAGGUCGAUGGCAUCCAAGAAGCAUCCUUUCUCCGGGGUGGUGGGGUUUUUGUUACUUGCUGCCACUAGGUGUCACUUUUACAGCCCAGGAGGAGAGAAGCUCCCAAGGGCUGUUUCCUUUGUCUCGGCUGCUGUGGACAGAUCUGUGCAAGCCCCCUGCUGUAGAGCCCAGAAUUGGCGCUCCCUGUACCCGGUGGGAUUCAGAAGCUUGGACAGACCUUGAGGAACCCAGCUCUUCUGAAGGCGUGAGCCACACAUUCGCUUGGGGAAGGGGUUUAUCAUCAGGGCAGUAGGGGUUGGGGUGGGGUGAGGAGAGGGGCUGGGAUCCCUUUGUCAUGCCUUGAGCCUCCUUCAACCAAGACCCCCUGGCCCGGCUCCUUUGGGCCAGGAGGUGGCGUGUUUUCUCACGAUGCCAGCCUCAGCCGCAUGGCUUGGCACCAUCAAGGCAGGCAUGGAUGCGGCAGGCCACAGCAGAAAGGCAAGUGCUGACGUUCCGAGUCCCGGGUGGAAGUGGUGGGGCUCUUUGUUCCAAAGGCCCAUGUGCAGCUUAGCCCUCGGGGCCUGGACCCGGUUCACGGUUCUUCUUCCCUGGGUCAAGUAUGUGAACUUCAGUUACGAACUGAGAGCCCCCAGGUUUCUAGGUCAGGAAGCUGACAUGGCGGGGGCAGAGCCCCUGUAGACAUGAGCCCAGGCCUCUGAACUGGUGCUCAGUGUCUGUUGUGGUGAAAUGAGCUACCAUGUGGGGGGAUGCAUGUUCGCAUAAGCUUUUUUUUAGUUCUAGACCCCAAUUACCGAACUUUUCUAGCAGGAACUGCGUGUGUCUUUGCAAACCGGUGCCGCCGGGGAAAACACAGACUUCACAAGGGAAACAGUAUAUGUUAUUAAUUCAUACAGCCUCUGUCCAGAGAUCACUGAUGUUUCAGCAGCUUAAUGGCAUAUGGAAAGCUUCAGUUAAAAAUAAAACAGAUGAAAAAUGUAGGAGAAUUAUAAAUGAAAUGAUUUUUUUUUCUUACUAUGUAUUAUGAGAAAGUCAGUCUUGAGAAUUAUCCCUUGUGUUUGUUUAAAACACAUUUACUGGAGUUCCCAUCGUGGCGCAGUGGAAAUGAAUCUGACUAGGAACCAUGAGGUUUCGGGUUCGAUCCUCGGCCUCGCUCAGUGGGUUCAGGAUCUUGCAUUGCUGUGGCUGUGGCAUAGGCUGGCAGCUGUAACUCCAAUUUGACCCCUAGCCUGGGAAUCUCUACAUGCUGCAGGUACGGCCCUAAAAAGCAAAAACAAACAAACAAAAAAUUUCCUAAGCAGACAAGGCAAUAGCUAAAUCCAGUAGCUAAGGAAUUCAGAAGAUACAAAGGUAUUGCAGACUUGCCCAGCAGUCUAAGGGGAGCUGGGAUCUGCAAACACCCCAUGGGCCCCAGGCGCUUCCCUCAGCAGCCCUGUCCCCUGGCAGGGAUGUCUUUCUUAGUCAAGGACCUGUUCCCUUGCCAGUGAGUCUUGGCUUAUGUCUAGAACAUAAAUUCACGAAGUGAUUCAAACCCUGUGAUCUGUGCAGAUGCCCUGUCUUUUUUUAACAUCGUUUAUAAUCAGAUCCUUUUUCCUGUUUCAGCUCUGCUGUGACAUUCUGAGUAGGUUCAUUUUUUUAUAUUAGAAGUAUGCUUGGGAGUUCCCUGAUGGCCUAGUGGUUAAGGAUCCGGUUUUGUCAGUACUGUGGUUCUGGUCACUGUUGUUGCACAGGUUUGAUCCCUGGCCUGGGACCUUCCAGAUGCUUCAGGCGGGACCAAAAAAGAAAAAGACUAUUUGGUGAUGAGAGAGCUUUGCUAAUGCUGGCCAAAGCAGUCAUGGUGAUGGAUGGCAUUUUCAGGCUGCUGCUGUGUAUUCAUAUAAUCCUCAUAAUGAGCCUUUGAGAUAGAGAUUGUUAUCAGCAUCUCACUCUGUAGAAAACUGGGACACAGGACGGUGUGGUAAUUUCCCCAGUGACAUGGCUGGGGUGUGAUGGCAGGAUUCUCAGGGGGCCCAGAGGACUCCAGGCUUCCUCUAGGGACUCUGACCACCCUGCUUUUCAGGAAGCAUGUGCUCCCCUGAGUUUGUGCCUGGAGCCCCCAGGUCCCCACUGACAGUAUGACAGGAUCCCUGACCUGGGAACUUCCACAUGCUGCGUGUACAGCCCCCAAAAAAGCCUUACAGUUAAACGCGCUUUUAAAAAUCCAGAUUGUAUUUUACUUCCCGACAGAUAUUUGGUGAGUUUUGUGCUUCCUCUGUGAAAGGGUGAGGGGGUGGGGAGCUCACCAUUGAAAAAAAAAGCGAUAGGGCGCGUUCUUGCUUAUCUCUACAAGUGCAUUUAAUUGAGACUCUCUGCUCCCAAGGCUGUGCGGACAGCCUCAUUCAGCCUCGUAGACGAGAGCAUUUUGAAUGAAUUCUUAAUCAUGAGAAUGAAUUAUUUUAAGAGCAGAGGCCAAGAGGAAAUAUGCUUCCUGGCCUCAAUGAUUACCUUAUUUGUCCAGGACAAAAACUCUCCCCUGGAGGUCAUUUUUUUUCUCCCAGAACACUCUAGAAUGUGAGUUAUCUGGCUGAGUUAGAACACAGGAAAUCAAAUCUCGUCUCUUGCACAUUAGUGAGUGUCACGGCAGGGCGGGGACGGUGACCACCCUGCAGAGAUUUAGCUGCUGAGUGACCCCACCUGGCAGCCACCCAAGGAAUCAAGGUUGGCUUCGGAAAUGGACAGCAGGCCAGGACGGCCUCAAUCUUAGAAGCAGCCCAGAUCUGUGCCAUAAAAAGAUUAAAAAAUGAUAAUUAGUUAGGACAGGUCACCUCUUAAACUCAGUCAAACCUUUAAUAAAAAUAAAAAAAAAAAAGAGAGAGAGAGAGAGAGAGAAGGAGAGAGAAGAGUUCCCAUCGUGGUUCAGCAGAAAUGAAUCUGACUAGUAUCCAUGAGGACGCAGGUUCGAUCCCUAGCCUUGCUCAGUAGGUUCAGGAUCUGGCGUUGCUGUGAGCUGUGGUUUAGUUGCUGACGCAGCUCAGAUCUGGCAUUGCUCUGGCUGUGGC
rnacentral:lncRNA from 1 species